CGGAGUGUAGCUUAAUGGUAGAGCGCUAGGCUCAUAACCUAGUCUGUGCGGGUUCAACUCCCGCCACUCCCACCA
rnacentral:tRNA from 1 species